UCUGAAACACAUCCGAUGUAAGAUACGCGUCUUGCAGCCACACAAUUGGUUCCAGUUUCAAAUUAUUAUUAUUUUUUUUUUUCAGCACCAGCUGGUGUGGAGGGCGUGCCUCUUCAGCCGUGCAACUGUGGACUUGAGGUCAAACACCUUGGCCUGAUCCCUGCGGAGGAUUUUGGCUCUGGGACAAAGAUCGUAAGAAAAGUCUUCGCCGUAUCUCCUCCACAUCACAUCGUACCCACUCAGGUUGUAGAUGUCAACAUGAAAUGGAAUGUUGUAGGACGGCCAGUAUCCUGAAAGAGAAAAGAAAAUCGUAUCCAGAUAAAACAACAACAGAGAGCUUGAGUCUGGUCCGUGUGGAGAACUUUCCCAGGGAUCUGCUCCACAACAGUCAAACCUCCCGUCCUGAUACUAUGUCCAGGGUAACUGCUGAAUGACAUUUUUCCAGUGGCCCCAUGAGACACCCUGAGGUCCCAGUGUUUAUAGAUGCGCAUGGUGGCCGCAUA